rnacentral:lncRNA from 1 species
CUGGGAAUCUUGCAUUUUAUUUUCACUUUGGGUAGCUGAGGGUGAGGAAGAGGCUCAGGGGCUUUUGCGGAAGGAGAAGUCCCGGAGUGCGGAGGUGGAGCAUUGUGCUGGCGCCAUCUUCUCUUCCUUUCUGCAGCCUCUCACAGUAGGUACAGCAAUUCAGUGAGGAGGUGCAAUGCUUCCUGCACCGCUGGGUUCUAGCUUACAAAAGUCAGUGCCAGCAGAAGCCACCACCCCACCUGCCCUUCUGACCACCCUCAUGUCCUUCCACUUCCGGCUCUGCCUAGCCUCAGACCAAAGCCCGGCAGGGAUCGAAGAGGCACCUCUCUACACAAGUCCUUCUUCUGACCCCCAGGCCAGUGGCUCCAUUUUCUGUCUUCCCUGUGGGCUGUGAUUCAUGGUAGAUAUUAGAAAGGAAACAGCAUCCUUCAAUUCUUUCUACCAUUUCUCUUAUCUUUACAGGGUUCUUAUUAAGCAGUAUCUUCAAACUUAUUUAUGUGAUGUCACACUAGGAGGCAGUGUUGUCAAUGGGCCACUUCCCAUGAGCAUUGAACUCAGUAGAAAUAAGAGCCCAAUAAAUGCCACGUUGUCUCCACGAGGAAUCUGCUUCUCUGGUCCUGAAAGGGAGCGCUGGAAGAUAACCAGCUUCCAGGACACCAAACUGCUUUUCUCCAUGGCUGCCCAGCCUGUCCCUUCUGGCUGCCCACAGAGGGAAUAAGGCUGAGCGUCUCCAGAGACACAGCGCUCCGUGAAAUGCAAACGCAGAGCCCAGCAGAGACAAGCCGAGGAGGUCCCUUUUCUUCCAGGCCUGUUGCCACCUCCAUUCCGGCCUAGGCAUGUGGGUUCGUUUACAUGGCUGGUUUGGAGCCCUUGGCAGAUGAAAGCGCUCAGAUAGCUUUAUGUGUGUUGCUCAUCAUUAAACCACCCCUCCAGGGGUUCUUGCCGCCUUUGGUUUGUGUCUCAAUCUGGAGCAAAUUUAAGCAAAGGUUUAGGCCUCUGCAUUUCCUUGGUUUAAUUAAUAAUUCAUAAUAAAAAUUUAAUCAAGGCAUAAGCUUUUGUAGAUGGUUAUAAAACUCUUUUAUUUGCCCUGGAGAUCAGAAUGACCACUUUUUAAAUCCAUGAAAUGAUGUUGUGUUUUUGUUUUUUUUUUUC